ACAAGGUAAAUAUCAGGUUGUUUC
ensembl:ncRNA